UACAGAGGGGGCAAGCGUUGUUCGGAAUUACUGGGCGUAAAGGGCGCGUAGGCGGCCUUCUAAGUCGAACGUGAAAUCCCCGGGCUCAACCCGGGAACUGCGUCCGAUACUGGAAGGCUUGAAUCCGGGAGAGGGAUGCGGAAUUCCAGGUGUAGCGGUGAAAUGCGUAGAUAUCUGGAGGAACACCGGUGGCGAAGGCAGAUCUCUGGGCCGUAACUGACGCUGAGGAGCGAAAGCAUGGGGAGCGAACAGG
rnacentral:rRNA from 1 species